rnacentral:lncRNA from 1 species
GAGGACACCAUGAAAUACGCCUAAUCAGGUAGGGAGAGGACACCAUGAAAUACUGCUAAUCAGGUAGGAGAGGACACCAUGAAAUACUGCCUUAAUCAGGUAGGGAGAGGACACCAUGAAAUACUGCCUAAUCAGGUAGGGAGAGGACACCUGAAAGACUGCCUAAUCAGGUAGGGAGAGACACCAUGAAAUACUGCCUAAUAGGUAGGAGAGGACACCAUGAAAUUGCCUCAUCAGGUAGGGAGAGGACACCAUGAAAGACUGCCUCAUCAGGUAGGGAGAGGACACCAUGAAAUACUGCCUCAUCAGGUAGGGAGAGGACACCAUGAAAUACUGCCUCAUCAGGUAGGGAGAGGACACCAUGAAAGACUGCCUAAUCAGGUAGUCUAUG